UUAGCUAUUUUAGAUAAGUUUGUAUUCAUGAUUCAUGGAUGCAAACACUUAAGUUUGUAUCUAUGAUGGCUAAGGCUUUUAACGCUGACUUGUCCGCCACAUAGAUGAAAAUCUAUUGUGGCUUUUUAUUUUGUUUUAGAAGGCUCAUUGUAGAUUUUCGAAUCUAUGAU
rnacentral:ncRNA from 1 species